ACUCAAAUGAAUAGACGGGGACCCGCACAACCAGUGGAGCGUGUGGUUCAAUUUGAGACGAAGCAAAAAACCUCACCAGGGAUUGACAUACUUAUGAAAGCCUUAUGAAAGUUUGGCCCUCCGCAAGGACAUUUGUACAGGUGUUGCAUGGCUGUCGUCAGCUCGUGCCGUGAGGUGUUCCGUUAAGUCGGGAAACGAGUGCAACCCCCAUCCAAUGUUAAAUAUUCAUUGGAGACCGCUCUGCAUUUUUUCGCUCAAAGAAAUUUGAGCUAAAAAAUGCAGAGAGGAAGGAGGGGCGGACGUCAAGUCAGCACGACCCUUAUACCCUGGGCUACACACACCCUACAAUGGCGAACAACAACGAGUUGCAAGACGGUAACGUCAAGCUAAUCUCUGAAAUUUCGCCUCAGUUCAGAUUGGGGUCUGAAACCCGACCCCAUGAAGUCGGAAUUGGUAGUAAUCGCGGAUCAGCAGGCCGCGGUGAAUACGUUCUCGGGUCUUGUACACACCGCCCGU
rnacentral:rRNA from 1 species